ensembl:lncRNA novel transcript
CAAGAUGGCGGCGGGCCGCUUCCAAAAUGGGAUGGUGGCAAGCCUCUUGUUCUCUGACCUGGGGUUCUUGGCCUCGCAGAUUCCAAGGAAUGAAAUCUUGGGCCAUGCGCUCCCCAAAUACUGGCAGCUGAAAAAAAUGAGUGAAUGAAGAAGGAGGAAGCCAGGGGAGACAAAGAAACAGGAUACACAACACAGGGGAAAGAUGAAAAGGACUCCCCAGGAUGGUGGUGAAGAGAGUUGCUAGGAUGACAACUGUGCAUCAAGCUUAAAACCCAGAUUGGAGCGUGUGAACCAAGAGAUAUAUAUGGCAUCAUCUUUUUGAACUAAAAAUGGCUGCGUGAACCUGGCCCAGUGUUUAUCUGUACUUGGCUUUCCUGGGUCACAUGUAGAUGAAGUACCGAUCUCUUCUCCUUCUUGGGUCAGCUGAGGACAGUCAUUCCCUCCAUAGGGAUGUUCUGCUCGGACCUGUUCCUGAGAGCUGGAGGUUGGUCAAGGCCAUCAAGCUCCAGAUGAUCCUCAGUGAGGGAUACCGCUCUCUCAGUAUUCAAGAGUCACCCUUCCACAGAGAAGCCCUAGACUGCCCAUCAGUGGAAUAUGAGAGAGGUAAAAUCCUGCCCCUGUCUCCUUCUGACCUGGCUGGAUACCAUUUUCACCAACAGAUUCACCCACACAGUCACCCUGCCUUGACAGCUAGCAAGAGGCCAAGACACACAGAACAACGACUACCACCCCUCUGACAGCAGGAAGCAGUUACAGAAGACUGACCUUUGUCCAUUUUCCCAAAGAAUUGGGUC